rnacentral:rRNA from 1 species
CGUGUAGGCGGUUAGGCAAGUCGGGUGUGAAAUCCCCGGGCUCAACUCGGGAACUGCAUCCGAAACUGCUUGGCUAGAGUCCCGGAGAGGAAGGCAGAAUUCCCAGUGUAGGGGUGAAAUCCGUAGAUACUGGGAGGAAUACCAGAGGCGAAGGCGGCCUUCUGGACGGUGACUGACGCUGAGGCGCGAAAGCGUGGGGAGCAAACAGGAUUAGAUACCCUGGUAGUCC